UACGGAGGGUGCGAGCGUUGUCCGGAAUCACUGGGCGUAAAGGGCGCGUAGGCGGCCUGAUAAGUAGGGGGUGAAAUCCUGCGGCUUAACCGCAGGGCUGCCUUCUAAACUGUCAGGCUCGAGCACAGUAGAGGCAGGUGGAAUUCCCGGUGUAGCGGUGGAAUGCGCAGAUAUCAGGAGGAACACCAAUAGCGAAGGCAGCUCGCUGGGACGGUACUGACGCUGAGGCGCGAAAGCGUGGGGAGCGAACAGG
rnacentral:rRNA from 1 species